GCCGUCGUCGACCAGUGGAAGGUCAAUCUCGCAACGUAGCUUAUGAAGCUCUUGAAUUGCAAUGGGGAAAGACGGGGGUUCGAUUCCUCCCGAUGGCA